GUUGGUACAGAUGUAGUAAUACUUAAUAGAUAAACCGGUGUAAAUCCGGUGCGGUCCCGCCACUGUAAUGAGGAGCUUCCUUACGAGUAACCACUGACGAACAAAGUAGUUGGGAAGGUGUAAGUGCAAGCAAUGAUUCAAAGCCAGAAGAACUGUCUGUAAU
rnacentral:ncRNA from 1 species